rnacentral:rRNA from 1 species
AUUGAAUGCUGGCGGCAGGCCUAACACAUGCAAGUCGAGCGGAUGAAGGGAGCUUGCUCCUGGAUUCAGCGGCGGACGGGUGAGUAAUGCCUAGGAAUCUGCCUGGUAGUGGGGGAUAGCGUCCGGAAACGGGCGCUAAUACCGCAUACGUCCUGAGGGAGAAAGUGGGGGAUCUUCGGACCUCACGCUAUCAGAUGAGCCUAGGUCGGAUUAGCUAGUUGGUGGGGUAAAGGCCUACCAAGGCGACGAUCCGUAACUGGUCUGAGAGGAUGAUCAGUCACACUGGAACUGAGACACGGUCCAGACUCCUACGGGAGGCAGCAGUGGGGAAUAUUGGACAAUGGGCGAAAGCCUGAUCCAGCCAUGCCGCGUGUGUGAAGAAGGUCUUCGGAUUGUAAAGCACUUUAAGUUGGGAGGAAGGGCAGUAAGUUAAUACCUUGCUGUUUUGACGUUACCAACAGAAUAAGCACCGGCUAACUUCGUG